GAUGAACGCUAGCGGGAGGCCUAACACAUGCAAGCCGAGCGGUAUGGGUAGCUUGCUACCCAGAGAGCGGCGUACGGGUGCGUAACACGUGUGCAACCUGCCCCUAUCCGGGGGAUAGCCCUCCGAAAGGAGGAUUAAUACCCCAUAAUAUAUCUGGUGGCAUCACUAGAUAUUGAAAACCCCGGUGGAUAGGGAUGGGCACGCGCAAGAUUAGAUAGUUGGCGGGGUAACGGCCCACCAAGUCGAUGAUCUUUAGGGGUCCUGAGAGGGAGAUCCCCCACACUGGUACUGAGACACGGACCAGACUCCUACGGGAGGCAGCAGUGAGGAAUAUUGGACAAUGGGUGGAAGCCUGAUCCAGCCAUCCCGCGUGAGGGACGACGGCCCUAUGGGUUGUAAACCUCUUUUGUACGGGGAUAAACCUAUCCACGUGUAGAUAGCUGAAGGUACCGUACGAAUAAGCACCGGCUAACUCCGUG
rnacentral:rRNA from 1 species